rnacentral:lncRNA from 1 species
GGAGGAUCCGCACCUCAACAGGAAGUGAGCUAGCGGACACCUCAUCUAAGGGGGACUGAGGUGGGUAUCCUAGAAUGGCCGUAAGGGCCUCAGUCCUAUCCUCGGGGUGUGUGGGAGCCACCCCUACUUGUGGAAGGUGGAGGAUGUGGGCAAUGAUAUCCUCCGAAAUGAACAAAGGGACACCGGCUACCGUGCCCUCUAUACCCCCAUC